CCCCCUCUGGUCUGCUUGUCUGUGAGCUUCCUCCCGUGCUCUUGCUCCCGCUGCCCUCAGCCUGUGCCAGAUAUAAAACUCUCCCCACCCUCAAGCAAAAAGAAACCUUUCCUGGCGAAUUUCAAGGAUGUCUUCUCUUGUUAACAAGCAUCAGCAAAAACACAGAAGACUCACAAAAUGAUGUGGGGAGCAAAGAGGAUGUGGAGCAUAUAUGGACCAAGAAUAAAAUAAUAAAGAAAACAGAAAGUA